rnacentral:rRNA from 1 species
CUACGGGGGGCAGCAGUGGGGAAUAUUGGACAAUGGGCGAAAGCCUGAUCCAGCCAUGCCGCGUGUGUGAAGAAGGCCUUCGGGUUGUAAAGCACUUUCAGUGGGGAAGAAAGCCUUGGGGCUAAUACCCUCGAGGAAGGACAUCACCCACAGAAGAAGCACCGGCUAACUCCGUGCCAGCAGCCGCGGUAAUACGGAGGGUGCGAGCGUUAAUCGGAAUUACUGGGCGUAAAGCGCGCGUAGGCGGUCUGAUAAGCCGGUUGUGAAAGCCCCGGGCUCAACCUGGGAACGGCAUCCGGAACUGUCAGGCUAGAGUGCAGGAGAGGAAGGUAGAAUUCCCGGUGUAGCGGUUAAAUGCGUAGAGAUCGGGAGGAAUACCAGUGGCGAAGGCGGCCUUCUGGACUGACACUGACGCUGAGGUGCGAAAGCGUGGGUAGCAAACAGGAUUAGAUACCCGAGUAGUC